CUGUGAGUCUCCCAUUUUCCCUGCCCUAAGCUAUCUGCUUAGUUAUUUCUCCCUAGGAACUCACAAUACUGUGUGUCCCCAAGGAGAUACUUUGUUAAGACCAGGAAACCAAGCCCCAGGAAGGUAACUGGACUACUUGCCGGGACUGAAGAGUGCGGAGAGGGGCUCUUGUGGCCAGAAUCCUGGAGAUGUGCCACCCACGAAGACAGAAGGCCAGUCCUGCUACCUGCAGCCACAAGACUCCACCACCAUGUCCUCAUACUGUUUAUAGACCACAUUGUUGGCAGAGUCAAUGAAGAGGAUGCUGAUGGGACUCAGCCGUGUGGGCACACAGCAGGACCUCGGUCAUCUAGAGAGAACACCCAGAAGUCAUUCCUUGCAACCUCACCAAGGCAGCCAACCACCAUGAGGCCUCAGGGGAGGGCCAUGGCCCUCUCCCCACUUGACAGAGCUUUAACCUCUUCCCCACUCUGACAGAGUCCAAGACCCAAACCACUGAGAGACUUUUCAAGAUAAGGGAGAUUCCUAUACAACUGA